rnacentral:rRNA from 1 species
AUUGAACGCUGGCGGCAGGCUUAACACAUGCAAGUCGAGCGGGGUGAUGGUGCUUGCACUAUCACUUAGCGGCGGACGGGUGAGUAAUGCUUAGGAAUCUGCCUAUUAGUGGGGGACAACAUCUCGAAAGGGAUGCUAAUACCGCAUACGUCCUACGGGAGAAAGCAGGGGAUCACUUGUGACCUUGCGCUAAUAGAUGAGCCUAAGUCGGAUUAGCUAGUUGGUGGGGUAAAGGCCUACCAAGGCGACGAUCUGUAGCGGGUCUGAGAGGAUGAUCCGCCAUACUGGGACUGGAACACGGCCCAGACUCCUACGGGAGGCAGCAGUGGGAAAUAUUGGACAAUGGGGGGAACCCUGAUCCAGCCAUGCCGCGUGUGUGAAGAAGGCCUUAUGGUUGUAAAGCACUUUAAGCGAGGAGGAGGCUCUUUUGGUUAAUACCCAAGAUGAGUGGACGUUACUCGCAGAAUAAGCACCGGCUAACUCUGUGCCAGCCGCCGCCGUAA